CCAAGUCUGGAAGGGAUAAACGCUGAAGGCAUCUAAGCGUGAAGCCCCCCUAAAGAUAAGAUUUCCCAUACCGAAAGGUAGUAAGACCCCUUGAAGACGACGAGGUAGAUAGGGCAGAGGUGGAAGUGUGGUAACGCAUGGAGCUGACUGUUACUAAUCGGUCGAGGCUUUAACCAA
rnacentral:rRNA from 1 species